rnacentral:rRNA from 1 species
GCUAUGUUGGCCGGGCGACGGUUGUCCCGGUUUAAGCGUGUAGGCUGGUUUUCCAGGCAAAUCCGGAAAAUCAAGGCUGAGGCGUGAUGACGAGGCACUACGGUGCUGAAGCAACAAAUGCCCUGCUUCCAGGAAAAGCCUCUAAGCAUCAGGUAACAUCAAAUCGUACCCCAAACCGACACAGGUGGUCAGGUAGAGAAUACCAAGGCGCUUGAGAGAACUCGGGUGAAGGAACUAGGCAAAAUGGUGCCGUAACUUCGGGAGAAGGCACGCUGAUAUGUAGGUGAAGUCCCUCGCGGAUGGAGCUGAAAUCAGUCGAAGAUACCAGCUGGCUGCAACUGUUUAUUAAAAACACAGCACUGUGCAAACACGAAAGUGGACGUAUACGGUGUGACGCCUGCCCGGUGCCGGAAGGUUAAUUGAUGGGGUCAGCGCAAGCGAAGCUCUUGAUCGAAGCCCCGGUAAACGGCGGCCGUAACUAUAACGGUCCUAAGGUAGCGAAAUUCCUUGUCGGGUAAGUUCCGACCUGCACGAAUGGCGUAAUGAUGGCCAGGCUGUCUCCACCCGAGACUCAGUGAAAUUGAACUCGCUGUGAAGAUGCAGUGUACCCGCGGCAAGACGGAAAGACCCCGUGAACCUUUACUAUAGCUUGACACUGAACAUUGAGCCUUGAUGUGUAGGAUAGGUGGGAGGCUUUGAAGUGUGGACGCCAGUCUGCAUGGAGCCGACCUUGAAAUACCACCCUUUAAUGUUUGAUGUUCUAACGUGGACCCGUGAUCCGGGUUGCGGACAGUGUCUGGUGGGUAGUUUGACUGGGGCGGUCUCCUCCUAAAGAGUAACGGAGGAGCACGAAGGUUGGCUAAUCCUGGUCGGACAUCAGGAGGUUAGUGCAAUGGCAUAAGCCAGCUUGACUGCGAGCGUGACGGCGCGAGCAGGUGCGAAAGCAGGUCAUAGUGAUCCGGUGGUUCUGAAUGGAAGGGCCAUCGCUCAACGGAUAAAAGGUACUCCGGGGAUAACAGGCUGAUACCGCCCAAGAGUUCAUAUCGACGGCGGUGUUUGGCACCUCGAUGUCGGCUCAUCACAUCCUGGGGCUGAAGUAGGUCCCAAGGGUAUGGCUGUUCGCCAUUUAAAGUGGUACGCGAGCUGGGUUUAGAACGUCGUGAGACAGUUCGGUCCCUAUCUGCCGUGGGCGCUGGAGAACUGAGGGGGGCUGCUCCUAGUACGAGAGGACCGGAGUGGACGCAUCACUGGUGUUCGGGUUGUCAUGCCAAUGGCACUGCCCGGUAGCUAAAUGCGGAAGAGAUAAGUGCUGAAAGCAUCUAAGCACGAAACUUGCCCCGAGAUGAGUUCUCCCUGACCCUUUAAGGGUCCUGAAGGAACGUUGAAGACGACGACGUUGAUAGGCCGGGUGUGUAAGCGCAGCGAUGCGUUGAGCUAACCGGUACUAAUGAACCGUGAGGCUUAACCUUACAACGCCGAAGGUGUUU